rnacentral:other from 12 species
GCCCGCCCCCUGAUGGGGGCGACACUCCGCCAUGAAUCACUCCCCUGUGAGGAACUACUGUCUUCACGCAGAAAGCGUCUAGCCAUGGCGUUAGUAUGAGUGUCGUACAGCCUCCAGGCCCCCCCCUCCCGGGAGAGCCAUAGUGGUCUGCGGAACCGGUGAGUACACCGGAAUUGCCGGAAAGACUGGGUCCUUUCUUGGAUAAACCCACUCUAUGUCCGGUCAUUUGGGCGUGCCCCCGCAAGACUGCUAGCCGAGUAGCGUUGGGUUGCGAAAGGCCUUGUGGUACUGCCUGAUAGGGUGCUUGCGAGUGCCCCGGGAGGCCUCGUAGACCGUGCACCAUGAGCACAAAUCCUAAACCUCA